GACGAACGCUGGCCGCGUGCUUAACACAUGCAAGUCGAACGGAAAGGCCCCUUUGGGGGUACUCGAGUGGCGAACGGGUGAGUAACACGUGAGUAACCUGCCCUUGACUUCGGGAUAACUUCAGGAAACUGGGGCUAAUACCGGAUAGGAAUCCUUGCUGCAUGGUGGGGGUUGGAAAGCUUCGGCGGUUUUGGAUGGACUCGCGGCUUAUCAGCUUGUUGGUGGGGUAGUGGCUUACCAAGGCUUUGACGGGUAGCCGGCCUGAGAGGGCGACCGGCCACAUUGGGACUGAGAUACGGCCCAGACUCCUACGGGAGGCAGCAGUGGGGAAUAUUGCACAAUGGGCGGAAGCCUGAUGCAGCAACGCCGCGUGCGGGAUGACGGCCUUCGGGUUGUAAACCGCUUUCAGCAGGGGCGAAGCUUGUGGUGACGGUACCUGCAGAAGAAGCACCGGCUAACUACGUG
rnacentral:rRNA from 1 species